rnacentral:rRNA from 1 species
ACAGAGGAGCCAAGCGUUGUUCGGAAUCAUUGGGCUUAAAGGGCGUGUAGGCGGCGGCGCAAGUGUCGAGUGAAAUCCCAUCGCUCAACGAUGGAACGGCUCGGCAAACUGCGUCGCUUGAGGUCGGUAGAGGUGCCUGGAACUCUAGGUGGAGCGGUGAAAUGCGUAGAUAUCUAGAGGAACGCCAGAGGCGAAAGCGGGGCACUGGGCCGAAUCUGACGCUGAUACGCGAAAGCGUGGGGAGCAAACAGGA